CCUACGGGAGGCUGCAGUGGGGAAUAUUGGACAAUGGGCGAAAGCCUGAUCCAGCCAUGCCGCGUGUGUGAAGAAGGCCUUCGGGUUGUAAAGCACUUUCAGUGGGGAAGAAAGCCUUGGGGCUAAUACCCUCGAGGAAGGACAUCACCCACAGAAGAAGCACCGGCUAACUCCGUGCCAGCAGCCGCGGUAAUACGGAGGGUGCGAGCGUUAAUCGGAAUUACUGGGCGUAAAGCGCGCGUAGGCGGUCUGAUAAGCCGGUUGUGAAAGCCCCGGGCUCAACCUGGGAACGGCAUCCGGAACUGUCAGGCUAGAGUGCAGGAGAGGAAGGUAGAAUUCCCGGUGUAGCGGUGGAAUGCGUAGAGAUCGGGAGGAAUACCAGUGGCGAAGGCGGCCUUCUGGACUGACACUGACGCUGAGGUGCGAAAGCGUGGGUAGCAAACAGGAUUAGAUACCCCAGUAGUC
rnacentral:rRNA from 1 species